AUUGAACGCUGGCGGCAUGCUUUACACAUGCAAGUCGAACGGCAGCGCGGGCUUCGGCCUGGCGGCGAGUGGCGAACGGGUGAGUAAUACAUCGGAACGUGCCCAGGAGUGGGGGAUAGCUCGGCGAAAGCCGGAUUAAUACCGCAUACGACCUGAGGGUGAAAGCGGGGGAUCUUCGGACCUCGCGCUAUUGGAGCGGCCGAUGGCAGAUUAGCUAGUUGGUGGGGUAAAGGCCUACCAAGGCGACGAUCUGUAGCUGGUCCGAGAGGACGACCAGCCACACUGGGACUGAGACACGGCCCAGACUCCUACGGGAGGCAGCAGUGGGGAAUUUUGGACAAUGGGCGAAAGCCUGAUCCAGCAAUGCCGCGUGUGUGAUGAAGGCCUUCGGGUUGUAAAGCACUUUUGGCGGGAACGAAAAGGACUGUGCCAAUACCACGGUUCGAUGACGGUACCCGCAGAAUAAGCACCGGCUAACUACGUG
rnacentral:rRNA from 1 species